AUUGAACGCUGGCGGCAUGCCUUACACAUGCAAGUCGAACGGCAGCGCGGGGCAACCUGGCGGCGAGUGGCGAACGGGUGAGUAAUAUAUCGGAACAUACCCUAGAGUGGGGGAUAACGUAGCGAAAGUUACGCUAAUACCGCAUACGCACUAAGGUGGAAAGUGGGGGAUCUUCGGACCUCAUGCUCAUGGAGUGGCCGAUAUCUGAUUAGCUAGUUGGUGAGGUAAAGGCUCACCAAGGCGACGAUCAGUAGCUGGUUUGAGAGAACGACCAGCCACACUGGAACUGAGACACGGUCCAGACUCCUACGGGAGGCAGCAGUGGGAAUUUUGGGACAAAUGGGGGCAACCCUGAUCCAGCAAUGCUGCGUGAGUGAAGAAGGCC
rnacentral:rRNA from 1 species